rnacentral:rRNA from 1 species
UCAGCGGCGGACGGGUGAGUAACACGUGGGCAACCUGCCUUGCAGAUUGGGAUAACUCCGGGAAACCGGGGCUAAUACCGAAUAACAUUGAGAGCNNCAUGGUUUUCUUUUGAAAGGCGGCUUCGGCUGUCACUGCUGGAUGGGCCCGCGGCGCAUUAGCUAGUUGGUGGGGUAACGGCCCACCAAGGCAACGAUGCGUAGCCGACCUGAGAGGGUGAUCGGCCACACUGGGACUGAGACACGGCCCAGACUCCUACGGGAGGCAGCAGUAGGGAAUCUUCCGCAAUGGACGAAAGUCUGACGGAGCAACGCCGCGUGAGUGAAGAAGGUUUUCGGAUCGUAAAACUCUGUUGUCAGGGAAGAACAAGUAUGGGAGUAACUGCCCGUACCUUGACGGUACCUGACCAGAAAGCCACGGCUAACUACGUGCCAGCAGCCGCGGUAAUACGUAGGUGGCAAGCGUUGUCCGGAAUUAUUGGGCGUAAAGCGCGCGCAGGCGGCCUUUUAAGUCUGAUGUGAAAGCCCCCGGCUCAACCGGGGAGGGUCAUUGGAAACUGGAAGGCUUGAGUGCAGAAGAGAAGAGCGGAAUUCCACGUGUAGCGGUGAAAUGCGUAGAGAUGUGGAGGAACACCAGUGGCGAAGGCGGCUCUUUGGUCUGUAACUGACGCUGAGGCGCGAAAGCGUGGGGAGCGAACAGGAUUAGAUACCCUGGUAGUCCACGCCGUAAACGAUGAGUGCUAAGUGUUGGGGGGUUUCCGCCCCUCAGUGCUGCAGCUAACGCAUUAAGCA